rnacentral:rRNA from 1 species
GACGAACGCUGGCGGCGUGCUUAACACAUGCAAGUCGAACGGAAAGGCCCUGCUUUUGUGGGGUGCUCGAGUGGCGAACGGGUGAGUAACACGUGAGUAACCUGCCCUUGACUUUGGGAUAACUUCAGGAAACUGGGGCUAAUACCGGAUAGGAGCUCCUGCUGCAUGGUGGGAGUUGGAAAGUUUCGGCGGUUGGGGAUGGACUCGCGGCUUAUCAGCUUGUUGGUGGGGUAGUGGCUUACCAAGGCUUUGACGGGUAGCCGGCCUGAGAGGGUGACCGGCCACAUGGGGACUGAGAUACGGCCCAGACGCCUACGGGAGGCAGCAGUGGGGAAUAUUGCACAAUGGGCGGAAGCCUGAUGCAGCAACGCCGCGUGCGGGAUGACGGCCUUCGGGUUGUAAACCGCUUUCGCCUGUGACGAAGCGUGAGUGACGGUAAUGGGUAAAGAAGCACCGGCUAACUACGUG